GUCAAAAGACAGGUAUUCAUAUUCAAGGCGUUCAGAUUUUCAACUGAUUUCAAAGAUAAAACACCAGCAGGGGGCGAAAGAGUGUAUGCAUUGUGGAACCCAUCAUUAGCUUGUGUUUCCCUGGGGAACAUAUAUACUGGUGCACCUUUGUGAUAGCAGGUGGUGAAAUGUUUGGUGAAAAAGCAUUUCACUGGAAGUCCUUCACGGAAGAGGAGACUCUCAUUCAUACACAUUCAGCUCAUUUAGGAUUCUGGAGACUCAACCGGUGAUCAACCUAACUAACUAAAGAACUAAUUAACUAACUAACUAAAGAACUAAUUAACUAACUAAAGAACUAAUUAACUAACUAACUGACUAAAGAAAUAAAAGAAGUCAGAAGAAAAUUGAGUUGUCCCUUGCGUCCUUCAGUCCUUAAAGGCCUUUUUCAAGUUUGGGCAAAGAGCUGCAGUGUGAACCAUACACAACUUGACAGAGACUCACCGGCAGCAAGAGCGACAUCAUUGAUGUAU